GAUGAACGCUGGCGGCGUGCCUAAUACAUGCAAGUCGAGCGAACAGACGAGGAGCUUGCUCCUCUGACGUUAGCGGCGGACGGGUGAGUAACACGUGGAUAACCUACCUAUAAGACUGGGAUAACUUCGGGAAACCGGAGCUAAUACCGGAUAAUAUAUUGAACCGCAUGGUUCAAUAGUGAAAGACGGUUUUGCUGUCACUUAUAGAUGGAUCCGCGCCGCAUUAGCUAGUUGGUAAGGUAACGGCUUACCAAGGCAACGAUGCGUAGCUGACCGGAGAGGGUGAUCGGCCAAACUGGAACUGAGACACGGUCAAGACUCCGACGGGAGGCAGAAGUGGGGAAUCUUGGACAAUGGGCGAAAGCCUGAUGAAGCAACGCCGCGUGAGUGAAGAAGGUCUUCGGAUUGUAAAGCUCUUUAAGUGGGGAAGAAAAAAAGUAAAUGAAUAUCUGGACGUUUUGACGUUACCAAAAGAAAAAGCACCGGCUAACUUCGUG
rnacentral:rRNA from 1 species